GACAGAAGAGAGCACAGAGUUCAAGGGUGACCUCGUGCCCCAUACCUGGGGUCCCCUUUCCACCAGUGUCCCCCACCCCUGCCCCUUCCUCCCUCCCAGCCAGUCCAGGCCAGUCUGUCCCAGUCUGUUCCCCAAAUUGCAAACCUGAUCAGGGUUGCUUCCUGCUCACAAGAUUUCAAGGCUUCCUCACCGCCUAGAGCUGGAGUAGGCAGACUGAGGCCCUCAGGUCAAAUCCUCCCUGCCGCCUAUUUCAGUAAACAAUGUUUUACUGGAACUCAGCCUUGCCCAUUUGUUCCCUGUGUUGUCUGCGGAUGCUCUCAUGCAACUACACAAGAGCUGAAUAUUGCAACUGAGACCACACAGGCUGCAAAGCCUUAAACUAUUUAUCAUCCAGCCCUUGACAGAACGAGUUUGCCAACUUUUGACCUAGAGGAUGGAAAGUCGUCACUUCUCAGUGUGCCCUGUGGAUACGUCGGGACCUAGCUCCGCCGACCUCUCUGGAUUUACCUCCUACAACCACUGCUUCCCACUCCACAUCGCUCACACAUCACACUCCGGUGAAAUCAGACUCUGCAGCCAUCUCACACAGACCCUAAUGCUAAUAGUAACUACCACUGGAUGAGCAUUUCUUCUGCCCCACACCGCAGUGUCCUUCACAUGUGUUGUCUCACUUCAACCUACAGGGCAGUCUGUAUUUAGGACCCGCAAAGCUUCCUAUGGAGGGAUGAGGCUGAAGUACCGUUGGGACGUAACUGGUCAGGGGAUGAGAGCACCACAUCACACACCGGUUACGAAAACAGGCUCUGGGCUCCGCGUAACCUGAGUCUGAGACCUCUUUCUGCAACCUGCAUGCUGUGACCUCAGAGCCGGUACCCGGGGAAGACCAGGCAGUGCCAGAAUCUGGAGGACAGUGGGAGAAGGGGAGCCUGCGGUCAGGGAGACCAGCCAGGUGACGGCAGCCACAGUCCAAGCAAGCGGGAACAACCACAUGGCUACAAUAACCAUAGGUACAAAAUGAUGCUCCUUGGGGCAGAAAACGGAAGUCCCCAGUUCUGGCUCAUCCUUAGGACCCUCAGCUACCCUCCGGCUAGCUGGCCACAGACACAGAUCACACAAUAAGCACCUGCUCAGAUGGUAGCUACCCUUGCAGUGAGCGUAGCUAUCAUGUAUAAACAUGUUGAAUCACUAUGUUGUGCACCCGAAACAAAUGUAACAUCAUGUGUCAGCUACACUCAAACACAAAAAUGAAUUGAAAAAAAUAAUAAAAACCUUCUCUUAUGACUGCACAGCACAAAGGA